CCUCCUUUUCUUGGCAGGCCUAGGCAGCCAAGUGUCACUCUCCAGUUCUUUUAUGUCCUGAGGGAAAGCAAAACUCACCAUGGUUCCAUUCAUGGUGCCAGCAGUUUUUCCCUCUGCUGGUUCUAUCUCAGCCACUGGGACAAGA
ensembl:snoRNA small nucleolar RNA SNORA57